GUGAAAAACUCUGGUGGUAUAAGAUGGACCCGCGUUGGAUUAGCUUGUUGGUGGGGUAACGGCCCACCAAGGCGACGAUCCAUAGCCGGCCUGAGAGGGUGAACGGCCACAUUGGGACUGAGACACGGCCCAGACUCCUACGGGAGGCAGCAGUGGGGAAUAUUGCACAAUGGGGGAAACCCUGAUGCAGCGACGCCGCGUGAAGGAAGAAGUAUCUCGGUAUGUAAAACUUCUAUCAGCAGGGAAGAUAGUGACGGUACCUGACUAAGAAGCCCCGGCUAACUACGUGCCAGCAGCCGCGGUAAUACGUAGGGGGCAAGCGUUAUCCGGAUUUACUGGGUGUAAAGGGAGCGUAGACGGUGUGGCAAGUCUGAUGUGAAAGGCAUGGGCUCAACCUGUGGACUGCAUUGGAAACUGUCAUACUUGAGUGCCGGAGGGGUAAGCGGAAUUCCUAGUGUAGCGUGAAUGCGUAGAUAUUAGGAG
rnacentral:rRNA from 1 species